UGAACCCUAAGCACUUUCAAGUUUUUGUCAAUGUGCUUUUGUUUAGAAGAAAACGCUUUUAUCGAUUCUAGAAACAAUUCCGAACAUGUUAGGUGAUUAAUGCUAGUCUUGUUAAUUUAAAUAUUUCUAUCAUUUCGCUAAAAGGCAUAGAUCCUUGUAUGUGAUGGUCGUAAAAUAUUUGUCUCUCACAUUAAUUGAUCAUGCAUUACUUGCACAAUAAAAUGAUUGAGAAGGGAAUGCACAUACAUUCCAAACAAAGACAUUUCUCAUUAAGGGGUUAUGAUGUUCAUCAUGAUUCUGU
rnacentral:lncRNA from 1 species